UACGGGGGGAGCAAACGUUGUUCGGAAUCACUGGGCGUAAAGGGCGCGUAGGCGGCUGAAUAAGUGGGAUGUUAAAUCCCCGGGCUCAACCCGGGACCUGCAUCUCAUACUGUUCAGCUCGAGCACAUCAGAGGAGACUGGAAUUCCCGGUGUAGCGGUGAAAUGCGUAGAUAUCAGGAGGAACACCGACGGCGAAGGCAGCACUCUGGGCCGGUACUGACGCUGAGGAGCGAAAGCAUGGGGAGCGAACAGG
rnacentral:rRNA from 1 species